UUUAGCUUAAUUUGGUAUUAUUACAUUCUUAUUUUUUUUCUCUACAUAAAUUUAUAAUAAUUUUACCCACGUAUUGUCUCCGCAUAAUAAAAUAUUUUAUUUAUUUAUUAAUAUUCUAAAAUUCUUUGGCACAUUUAAAAUUAGUAUAUUAUAAUUUCGUUGACCUCUAUAUUAUUUUUCAGCAAUAAACAGUUAUUAAAGGCAGCAUCAUCAGGAGUGGUGGCUUAAAGGCUCAUCAACCCAAGACUCCCUCGAAAACUUUGGAAAACACUCCUGCAAAAUAUUGAAUUUUAUUUAAAUAUUGUCCCUUUUUUCUACAAAUUUUAGGUACAUAUUACAGAUAUUACUUAAUGAUGAUGAAUAGAUUUGUGCGAAAAGGCAUCUUAUUAAUUCAUAGAUUCGAAUGAAGUUAUUGAACAAGAUAAUUUAGAUUGAUACAACUAUAAAAGGCAGGAGAGUCAAAGGUUUCAGAUAAAAAUAAGAAGGAAAAUAUUUUACAUUUUUGGGAGUCUGCUAAGCUUCAAUACCCUGUUUUAUAUAUUUUAUCCAAUAUCAUAUUUUCUAUUACUGCAGCUCAAAGGUUAGCCUUGAAAGUUCUUUUUCACAUCUAAAAUGUAUUCAUAGUCGAAGAUGUGCAAACAACGAAGAUAUUAUGCUAAUACGUCUAAAUAAAAUUUUUAAAAUCGAU